UACGAGGGGUGCAAGCGUUGCUCGGAAUUACUGGGCGUAAAGGGCGCGUAGGCGGCCAUGUAAGUCGGGUGUGAAAGCCCGGGGCUCAACCCCGGAACGGCACCCGAGACUGUGUGGCUCGAGACCGGAAGAGGUGAGUGGAAUACCCAGUGUAGAGGUGAAAUUCGUAGAUAUUGGGUGGAACACCAGUGGCGAAGGCGGCUCACUGGCCCGUAACUGACGCUGAGGUGCGAAAGCGUGGGGAGCAAACAGG
rnacentral:rRNA from 1 species